rnacentral:rRNA from 1 species
UGCAUAUUCCAAAACGGAGGAAAAGAAACCAACCGGGAUUGCCUUAGUAACGGCGAGUGAAGCGGCAAAAGCUCAAAUUUGAAAUCUGGUACCUUCGGUGCCCGAGUUGUAAUUUGGAGAGGGCAACUUUGGGGCCGUUCCUUGUCUAUGUUCCUUGGAACAGGACGUCAUAGAGGGUGAGAAUCCCGUGUGGCGAGGAGUGCGGUUCUUUGUAAAGUGCCUUCGAAGAGUCGAGUUGUUUGGGAAUGCAGCUCUAAGUGGGUGGUAAAUUCCAUCUAAAGCUAAAUAUUGGCGAGAGACCGAUAGCGAACAAGUACAGUGAUGGAAAGAUGAAAAGAACUUUGAAAAGAGAGUGAAAAAGUACGUGAAAUUGUUGAAAGGGAAGGGCAUUUGAUCAGACAUGGUGUUUUGUGCCCUCUGCUCCUUGUGGGUAGGGGAAUCUCGCAUUUCACUGGGCCAGCAUCAGUUUUGGUGGCAGGAUAAAUCCAUAGGAAUGUAGCUUGCCUCGGUAAGUAUUAUAGCCUGUGGGAAUACUGCCAGCUGGGACUGAGGACUGCGACGUAAGUCAAGGAUGCUGGCAUAAUGGUUAUAUGCCGCCCGUCUUAACACACCGGGACCAGACG